AGUCGAACGAAGCUCCUGCGACAGAUUCCUUCGGGAUGAAGAUGCUUGAGACUUAGUGGCGGACGGGUGAGUAACGCGUGGGUAACCUGCCCUGUACUGGGGGACAACAGUUAGAAAUGACUGCUAAUACCGCAUAAGCCUACAGAGUCGCAUGACUCAGCAGGAAAAAUUCCGGUGGUACAGGAUGGGCCCGCGUCUGAUUAGCUAGUUGGUGAGGUAAUGGCUCACCAAGGCGACGAUCAGUAGCCGGCUUGAGAGAGUGAACGGCCACAUUGGGACUGAGACACGGCCCAAACUCCUACGGGAGGCAGCAGUGGGGAAUAUUGCACAAUGGGGGAAACCCUGAUGCAGCAACGCCGCGUGAGUGAAGAAGUAUUUCGGUAUGUAAAGCUCUAUCAGCAGGGAAGAAAAUGACGGUACCUGACUAAGAAGCACCGGCUAAAUACGUGCCAGCAGCCGCGGUAAUACGUAUGGUGCAAGCGUUAUCCGGAUUUACUGGGUGUAAAGGGAGCGCAGGCGGUCUGGCAAGUCUGAUGUGAAAAUCCGGGGCUUAACUCCGGAACUGCAUUGGAAACUGUCAGACUAGAGUGUCGGAGAGGUAAGUGGAAUUCCUAGUGUAGCGGUGAAAUGCGUAGAUAUUAGGAGGAACACCAGUGGCGAAGGCGGCUUACUGGACGAUAACUGACGCUGAGGCUCGAAAGCGUGGGGAGCAAACAGGAUUAGAUACCCUGGUAGUCCACGCCGUANACGAUGAAUACUANGUGUCGGGGCACAAAAGUGCU
rnacentral:rRNA from 1 species